GAGUUAUCUGAACCUUCGGGGAACGUUAACGGCGUCGAGCGGCGGACGGGUGAGUAAUGCCUGGGAAGUUGCCCUGAUGUGGGGGAUAACCAUUGGAAACGAUGGCUAAUACCGCAUAAUAGCUUCGGCUCAAAGAGGGGGACCUUCGGGCUCUCGCGUCAGGAUAUGCCCAGUGGGAUUAGCUAGUUGGUGAGGUAAGGGCUCACCAAGGCGACGAUCCCUAGCUGGUCUGAGAGGAUGAUCAGCCACACUGGAACUGAGACACGGUCCAGACUCCUACGGGAGGCAGCAGUGGGGAAUAUUGCACAAUGGGCGCAAGCCUGAUGCAGCCAUGCCGCGUGUAUGAAGAAGGCCUUCGGGUUGUAAAGUACUUUCAGCAGUGAGGGAGGUGGUGCGGUUAAUAGCUGUAUCAUUUGACGUUAGCUGCAGAAGAAGCACCGGCUAACUCCGUGCCAGCAGCCGCGGUAAUACGGAGGGUGCGAGCGUUAAUCGGAAUUACUGGGCGUAAAGCGCAUGCAGGUGGUUUGUUAAGUCAGAUGUGAAAGCCCGGGGCUCAACCUCGGAAUUGCAUUUGAAACUGGCAGACUAGAGUACUGUAGAGGGGGGUAGAAUUUCA
rnacentral:rRNA from 1 species